GAUGAACGCUGGCGGCGUGCCUAAUACAUGCAAGUCGAGCGAACAGACGAGAGUGCUUGCACUCUCUGCCGUUAGCGGCGGACGGGUGAGUAACACGUGGGUAACCUACCUAUAAGACUGGGAUAACUUCGGGAAACCGGAGCUAAUACCGGAUAAUAUUUAGCUUCGCAUGAAGCAAUAGUGAAAGACGGUUCUGCUGUCACUUAUAGAUGGACCCGCGGUGUAUUAGCUAGUUGGUGAGGUAACGGCUCACCAAGGCAACGAUACAUAGCCGACCUGAGAGGGUGAUCGGCCACAGUGGGACUGAGAGGCGGCCCAGACUCCUACGGGAGGCAGCAGUAGGGAAUCUUCCGCAAUGGACGAAAGUCUGACGGAGCAAUGCCGCGUGAGUGAAGAAGGUUUUCGGAUCGUAAAACUCUGUUGUAAGGGAAGAACAAUUACGUUAGUAACUGAACGUACCUUGACGGUACCUUACCAGAAAGCCACGGCUAACUACGUG
rnacentral:rRNA from 1 species